ACUGUUGGUCUUUCAGCCAAAGACCCUGUUUCCUUUCCUUUAUCUUCGAUACACCAAGAUGAACGUGACUUCUGUGACAGUAACCCUCCUCCUUAUAAUAGGAUUGGUGCCGGUCAAUCCUUCUAGAGAGUUUAAACCGCUAGGAGGAAUCUUCUUGCACGGAAUAGGAUUGGAGAAGCUGUUCGGAAAGAUUUACGGAUUUAGGGGAAAUGACUACGUAGGGUACAAAAGAACACCCUCGAACUUUCAAGAGUUUCUCACGGGGCCACUCUUUCCCCUCCCCUCCUACUUUUAUAGAUUCCGACAGGCUCUGUACCAGCUCGAUCUCCAGCAGUCUCUCCUGGAUGCCCAAGAAGAGGCGGAACAUGAGGGAGGACAUGGUGCUGAAGAAGGUGGCCACGGAGGAGAACACGGCGCUGAAGAAGGUGGCCAUGAAGGAGGACACGGCGCUGAAGAAGGUGGCCACGGAGAAGGACAUGGUGCUGAAGAAGGUGGCCACGGAGGGGAACACGGCGCUGAAGAAGGUGGCCAUGGAGGAGGACAUGGCUUUACCGAAGGCGGCCAUGUAGGGGGACACAGCGACGCUAUAGGCGGCCAUGGAGGAGGACACGGCUUUGUCGAAAGUGGCCAUGGAGGAGGACACGGCUUUGUCGAAAGUGGCCAUGGAGGAGGACACGGCUUUGUCGAAAGUGGCCAUGGAGGAGGACACGGCUUUGCUGAAGGCAGCCAUGGAGGGGGACACGGCGCUGCCGAAGGUGGCCAUGGAGAAGGACACGGCUUUGCCGAAGGCGGCCAUGCAGGAGGACACAGCGCUGUCGAAGGUGGCCAUGGAGGAGGAUACGGAGCUGCCGAAGGUGGCCACGGAGGGCACGGCACUGCUGAAGGUGGUCACGAACAUGAGGAGCAUUCUGGCCAUGGCGAACACAGCGAAGGAGAACAUGGCGGUGAAGAGCAUGGUCCCAAAGAAAUACUACAACUCGCUGUCCUGCCGGACCCCCGCCACCCUGGGAGGCGUAAAUUCUACUACAUAAGAACCCCUGUGGUUGAGCACAGUGAGCAUGGCAGCGGUGAAGAGCACAGUUAGCACCGCGAUAUGGAGAUGAAGAUGCCAAACUGCAAAUGGAACAUAAAUUGGUCAACUUCACUCAUACCAGUGUCCCUGUUUAGAGGGAGAGAUAUCUGAUGAUGCUACCAAUUGCUCACAAAUUAUAUGGACUGCAGGUUAUCCACAGUAAAGAUAACUGGAAUGCAUUGAACAACACAAAUACCUUCCUCAUCAUAGCUCAAACCACAAUUCUGUAGAAGGAGCUCAAAGACUUUAGAUUACAAGACACGUAGUACGUGAAGGUGAUCCUAAUUACCGAGGUGAAUUUAGCCUGUACCUAGUUCCUUUACCACCGGCCGAUUGGUCUUGCAACUCUAACCCCACGGGUCAUACUGAGGACUGAAACUCAUUAU